AGAGUUUGAUCAUGGCUCAGAAUCAACGCUGGCGGCGCGCUUAACACAUGCAAGUCGAACGAGAAAGUGGAGCAAUCCAUGAGUAAAGUGGCGUACGGGUGAGUAACACGUGGGUAAUCUACCUCUGGGUGGGGGAUAACCCUGGGAAACCGGGGCUAAUACCGCAUAAGCCUGGAAAGGGAAAGGCGAAAGUCGCCGAGAGAGGAGCCCGCGGCCGAUUAGCUAGUUGGUAGGGUAAAGGCCUACCAAGGCGAUGAUCGGUAGCCGGCCUGAGAGGGCACACGGCCACACUGGCACUGAAACACGGGCCAGACUCCUACGGGAGGCAGCAGUGGGGAAUCUUGCACAAUGGGGGCAACCCUGAUGCAGCGACGCCGCGUGAGCGAUGAAGCCCUUCGGGGUGUAAAGCUCUUUCGGCUGGAACGAUGAUGACGGUACCAGCAGAAGAAGCUGCGGCUAACUACGUGCCAGCAGCCGCGGUAAUAC
rnacentral:rRNA from 1 species